rnacentral:lncRNA from 10 species
ACAAAGCUGUUUCUAGGGAAGACUAUUUUGUGGUCUCUAGAGCACAUAUUUGAAUGGAACAAGCUUCAUUUGCAUAUGCAAGAUUGGAUAUUUCCGUUGUAAAUUUUUUUUUUUUUUUUUGGUCAAAAGGAAGUUCUGGGUCUAUAUUCAGAGCCUGCCAUGUGCCAGCUUGGUAAAGUCUCUGAAUUUCAGUUUUCUCAUCUGUAAAAUGGAGAUAAUUAUACUUCCUUAUGGGUUAUUGAAAGGAUUAGAAAAGGCGAUUUAUAUAAAACCUAGCACUACUUAAAUAACAUACGCAAAGCUUAGCACAGUUGUUCAAUAAAGAAUUGGUAUAUUUGUCUUGUUCUAUAUAUAAAGUAAUAUGAAAUUAGUUUGUGAAAGUCAGACUGAAUUGUGAGUGAGCUUGAGUUGUUAAAGCUAUGUAUCUCAGUACAUAGAUUACCAUGAACAGGCAUAAAAUUUAUUGUACCUUCUAUAUGUAUAUGUAGUGAUUUUUUUAAAAGCUAAAAAUCCUAACUCUUUUUUUCCUCUUCUUGUACCUGCUCAAUUCUCUGUGGAAUUUUUAGUGUUUUACCUGUUUCACAGAGUGUGAUUGCCAUUCGGCAUUUGUGUGUGUGUCAUUUGAAGAACAUAUGACUUUUCUGCUAGAGCGUAGAUUCCGUAAGGAUUGGAAUCAUGUCUGCUUUUUCUUACCGCCGUGUUCCCAGCGCCUAGGCCAGUGGCUAGCCCAUGGUAAAUGCUCAAUAAAUAUUUGUUGAAGGAGUGAUGUGCAGGGAUUAAAAACAAAAGAAAGCUUGAGAGAAAACCAGUAAGGAGGCAGAUGGGAGUGGCCAACACUGCUGGAUGCUGCCAGGAGGGCAAGUAUGAUGAGGCCUGGAAAAGUGGGCUUUGGACUCUGGCAAUCUGAAGGUCACUGGUGAUCUUGAUGAGAACAAAGUCAUGGAGUGAUGGAGGCUGGAGCUGACCCACAGCAGGCCGAGAGCAGAGUGGUAGGAAAUUGGAGGAGUGUGGAUGAAUCUUCCUAGAAUGGCAGGUGGCCAAGAACAAGCCACCCAGGACAAAGUUUACUCUUCUCCUAUGGACACAAGUUUUCACUGUGAGCAGGGAUCUCCUCCUUACCUACCAUUUCCCCUGAAGCACAGCCCCAGGAACCUAGUGAAUCUUCUCUGUUCCCAGUGGAGAUGGGAUACCAGCCUUUUGUGGUUGUGUGUACCUGGGAUCGCCAUACUGCCCUGGUGUAUUCCUGCUCCUGGCUUUGUGACAACCCUCUGCUGAUUGCUAGCAAGUGACAGCCUUGUCCUCAAGCACAGGUGGUACUCAUGGGCGUGAGCAGUCAAGGGCUCUGGAGGCAGCCCAGUGCGCAGUGCUUCUUAUCAAGGAGGCUAGUGUCGGAUCCCACACCCACCGAGGGUGCUAAUGUCCUGGGAAGGGUGGCACUGGGGUCUAGCUGGCCACCUGGAGUUUCUGUCAAGGUCUAGAACAGGAGCAAGUAAGAGUUGAUGUCCACUG